rnacentral:misc_RNA from 1 species
CUCUUCGUCACCCUGAUCGAGUUCAAACUCACGACGCUGGCCGGCUUCGUGCUCAUUCCCUUUGGGUUGUUUGGCAAGACAGCCUUCGCGGCAGAGCGGGUCUUGGGCAACGUCAUCUCUUCAGGGAUCAAGGUCUUGGUCCUGGCCGCCAUCGUCGNNNNGUUCACCGCUGGCUUUGGUGGCAAUCAGCCGACCAUAGAAGACGCGAUGACCCUGGUCCUUGCGGCGCUCUCCUUGCUUGGCCUGGGCAUCUUCGGUCCUGGAAUC